rnacentral:tRNA from 1 species
GGGGCUGUAGCUCAGUUGGGGGAGCGCCCCGAUGGGUAUCGGGGAGGUCAGGGGUUCAAGUCCCCUCAGCCUGG